rnacentral:rRNA from 1 species
AACGAACGCUGGCGGCAUGCCUAACACAUGCAAGUCGAACGAACCCUUCGGGGUUAGUGGCGCACGGGUGCGUAACGCGUGGGGAUCUGCCCUUUGCUUCGGAAUAACAGUUAGAAAUGACUGCUAAUACCGUAUAAUGACUUCGGUCCAAAGAUUUAUCGCCUGAGGAUGAGCCCGCGUAGGAUUAGCUUGUUGGUGAGGUAAAAGCUCGCCAAGGCGACGAUCCUUAGCUGGUCUGAGAGGAUGAUCAGCCACACUGGGACUGAGACACGGCCCAGACUCCUACGGGAGGCAGCAGUGGGGAAUAUUGGACAAUGGGCGAAAGCCUGAUCCAGCAAUGCCGCGUGAGUGAUGAAGGCCUUAGGGUUGUAAAGCUCUUUUACCCGGGAUGAUAAUGACAGUACCGGGAGAAUAAGCCCCGGCUAACUCCGUGCCAGCCGCCGCCGUAAAAC